GGCCCCAUAGUCGAGCGGUUAAGACGCUUGCCUGUCACGCAAGAAAUCGCGGGUUCGAUUCCCGCUGGGGUCG
rfam:Pseudomonas phage PaBG, complete genome.